rnacentral:hammerhead_ribozyme from 1 species
CUGCCGAUGAGGAGUCCCAAGUAAUAGGACGAAACACUUGUCCAGUAC